ACGAACGCUGGCGGCGUGCUUAACACAUGCAAGUCGAACGGAAAGGCCCUGCUUUUUUGUGGUGCUCGAGUGGCGAACGGGUGAUUAACACCUCAGUUACCUUCCCUUUACUUUUGUAUUACUUCUGGAAACUGCGGCUAAUACCGCAUAGUAGCUCCUUCUGCCUGGUGGGGGUUGGAAAGUUUCGGCGGUUGGGGAUGGACUGGAGGCUUAUCAGCUUGUUUGUGGGGUAGUGGCUUACCAAGGCUUUGACGGGUAGCCGGCCUGAGAGGGUGACCGGCGACAAUGGGACUGAGAGACGGAGCAGAAUGCAACGGGAGGCAGCAGGGGGGAAUAUAGCACAAUGGGGGGAAGCGUGAUGCAGCAACGCGGGGUGCGGGAUGACGGCAUACGGGGUGAAAACAGAUUUCGAAUGUGACGAAGCGUGAGUGACGGUAAUGGGUAAAGAAGCACCGGCUAACUACGUG
rnacentral:rRNA from 1 species